CAGGAGUUUGACACCAGCCUGACCAACAUGGUGAAACCCUAUCUCUACUAAAAAUACACAAAUCAGCCUGGUGUGGUGGCGGGCGCCUGUAAUCCCAGCUACUCUGGAGGCCGAGACAGAAGAACUGCUAGAACCCGGGAUGUGGGGGUUGCAGUGAGCCAAGAUUGCACCACUGCACUCCAGCCUGGGCAACAGAGAAAGACUCUGUCUCAA